rnacentral:rRNA from 1 species
AAAAACUCCGGUGGUAUGAGAUGGACCCGCGUCUGAUUAGCUAGUUGGUGAGGUAACGGCCCACCAAGGCGACGAUCAGUAGCCGGCCUGAGAGGGCGACCGGCCACAUUGGGACUGAGACACGGCCCAAACUCCUACGGGAGGCAGCAGUGGGGAAUAUUGCACAAUGGGGGAAACCCUGAUGCAGCGACGCCGCGUGAGUGAAGAAGUAUUUCGGUAUGUAAAGCUCUAUCAGCAGGGAAGAAGAAAGACGGUACCUGACUAAGAAGCCCCGGCUAACUACGUGCCAGCAGCCGCGGUAAUACGUAGGGGGCGAGCGUUAUCCGGAUUUACUGGGUGUAAAGGGAGCGUAGACGGCUGUGCAAGUCCGAAGUGAAAGCCCAGGGCUCAACCCUGGGACUGCUUUGGAAACUGUGGAGCUAGAGUGCUGGAGAGGUAAGUGGAAUUCCUAGUGUAGCGGUGAAAUGCGUAGAUAUUAGGAGGAACACCAGUGGCGAAGGCGGCUUACUGGACAGUAACUGACGUUGAGGCUCGAAAGCGUGGGGAGCAAACAGGAUUAGAUACCCUGGUAGUCCACGCGGUAAACGAUGAAUACUAGGUGUUGGAGAGCAAAGCUUUUCG